AGGCCAACAAAUAACCGCCACGGGUUUAAGCAACGCUUACCGCAAACGCGUCGAGCGAGAAAGACGCACCAUCGAACGGAACCAUGGCAAAUGAACUACAAGUACGUCAGCGCAGAGCGCCACAAGAUACGCAAGUCGUCGAAGCAAAACCAAGAGCUGCCGCUGUUUCGACUCAGAGGACGCCUGGUGCGAAACGACACGGCCUGAAGCUCGGGCCGACCGCAGUGCUCGCAAUUAGCCUCGGUUUUGUCGGGACAGUCAUAACGCUACAUAUCAUCGGAAAACUUGCCGGAAUCUAAGACCCAAUCACUAGGUCUUGGUGCUUGCACAGCGUAUGACCAACCAGAAGCCUGGCAGAUCUGAUCAACGUUCGGAACCGGAGCUGUACGCGUUCCUCGCGCAUCCGGAAGACUGCUGGUGGGGAGCAACUGUUCGCUCCCCUACAUCCAUGUCGCUUUCGGCUUGUGUGGUACGACGCUUGAUCGGUACGCCUGCCGAAUCGUAAGGCGCGUCGCGCUCAGGGCAGCACAUGUUGCCGAUGCGUACGAAACACACGAGUGCUUCCGAGCGAUUUUCUGUUUCCUGAGCAGUGAUGCGGAUGACGAGCGGCUCCACCCCGGUAAAAGGAUUUUGCGAGACUUACCUGUACGAGUGAAUCUCUCAGGUUGGUACGUGAUUUCGGCGAGUCCCAUCGGCUGCCAGCACCAUGUGAACACUUUCCCAGCGAACACCGAGUUCCGACUGAAAUCAAAUGGUUUCUCUGGGCUAACUCGGGCGUCU